rnacentral:rRNA from 1 species
GGUUAAUAUUCCUGCACCGUCGUAUGAUGCGAUGGGGGGACGGAUCGCGGAAGGUUGUCCGGGUGUUGGAUGUCCCGGUCCCUGCAUUGGAGAUGGCACUUAGGCAAAUCCGGGUGCGUGAUUCAAGGGUGUGGGGCGAGCGACUUUAGGUCGCGAAGCAAUUGGAAGUGGUUCCAAGAAAAGCCUCUAAGCUUCAGUCAUACGAGACCGUACCGCAAACCGACACAGGUGGGCGAGAUGAGUAUUCUAAGGCGCUUGAGAGAACUCGG